rnacentral:pre_miRNA from 1 species
AGCGUAAUUGCUGGAUCAUAUGGUAUGAGUACGUUUAACUUUGUAAAAAACUGCCAGACUUUACUAAAGUGGCUGUACCAUUUUGCAUUCCUACCAGCAAU